GAUAGGAAAGUGCUGCUCAUGGGAGAUACUUGAUUACCAUUUUGCUCCUCAAUAGUCAUGUGGUUAUGAUAACAUAUGCUUCAUAUUCUUCAGCCAACAGUCAACAAAAGGUUGUGGUCCAAAUCUCAAUGGAGAUAAUAUAAAUUUGUACUGUUGAUUGUCUCAACAAACUUGGUUGGUUCAUUAAUCCGUAUGAAGUAAUUCAUCUCAUGGAGUUUGAGACAAGGGAGGGCAAAGGGAAAAAAUCAUAGACAUGCAUGCUACUAGCAAGAGGAUAGAUGAAGACAUUAUUGAAAGUAAAAAAGUGUUGAACUUCUUAUCACAAAAAAUAGAGAGAGGGAAGAAAAGUUUAUCAACUAAGGUAGGCAAAGCAAAGAAAAGGAGAAGGUUUGUAAAAUGAUUUAAGAGGUGAAAUAUUCAAAUCAUUAUAUCUAUGAGGAUAUGAUCCUUGUGAUCAUGAGCAUCGUGAUAGAAUGUAAAGAUUAGAUUACUUAAGGUGAGAUUUAAAAAUUUAUACAUUUGAUUAGAUGAUGUAAA